rnacentral:rRNA from 1 species
UGGCCAGACUCCUACGGGAGGCAGCAGUGAGGAAUAUUGGUCAAUGGGCGGGAGCCUGAACCAGCCAAGUCGCGUGAGGGAAGACGGUCCUACGGAUUGUAAACCUCUUUUGCCGGGGAGCAACGGGGUCCUUGCGAGGGCCCAAUGAGAGUACCCGGAGAAAAAGCAUCGGCUAACUCCGUGCCAGCAGCCGCGGUAAUACGGAGGAUGCGAGCGUUAUCCGGAUUUAUUGGGUUUAAAGGGUGCGUAGGCGGGCUGUUAAGUCAGCGGUCAAAUGUCGGGGCUCACCCCCGGCCUGCCGUUGAAACUGGCGGCCUCGAGUGGGCGAGAAGUAUGCGGAAUGCGUGGUGUAGCGGUGAAAUGCAUAGAUAUUAGGAGGAACACCGGUGGCGAAGGCGGCUUACUGGACUGUAACUGACGUUGAGGCUCGAAAGCGUGGGGAGCAAACAGGAUUAGAUACCCGGGUAGU